rnacentral:rRNA from 1 species
UACGGAGGGUGCAAGCGUUGUCCGGAAUUAUUGGGUUUAAAGGGUGCGUAGGCGGAUAUAUAAGUCAGAGGUGAAAUCCCAUCGCUUAACGGUGGAACUGCCUUUGAUACUGUAUAUCUUGAGUAAAGUAUAGGUAGGCGGAAUUUAUUGUGUAGCGGUGAAAUGCAUAGAUACGAUAAAGAACCCCAAUAGCGUAGGCAGCUUACUGGACUUUAACUGACGCUGAGGCACGAAAGCGUGGGUAGCGAACGGG